CUCCAUGAAUUCAUUUUAUAACGUUGUCAAAAACCUUGUGUAAAACGACACUCGAUCCUGUAGAAUUUGGAAUGCCUUUCGAUCGUCGCGAAAAAUUCUUCCUCCAAGAUGAGGUCGUCAUGCACAACCAAAUCGACAGUGCGUGGGUUGUCAUCCGUGGGAACGUCUUCGACAUUACGGCUUUGUACGGCGGCGGUGGUGGCACCGGCAGUCGCCCAAGCUCUCCAAAAAAGAUUCAUCAACUGCUGCUUGCCUUUGCCGGCAAGGAUUUAAGCGGAUUCUUCACCGACGGCGGUCGGCCACUUUACAGGAUUAGCAAGGAUGGUGUCAAGGUGCCGGUGUUCGCGCCGGUCAAGGUGAAGAACCGUGCCACCGGAGAGUACUGGUGGAACGAUCGAAGCUUGCGGAUCGGGAGGAUUACGGCCCGGGCGCGGCCACUUCGGGUGCGCAACAGCUUGACGUUCAAGGUGCAAGAACUGGUGGUUUGCGAAGAAGAUACGAUCGCAAUGAUUCAGCGCAAGUUUCUCCGAUUCAACGGCAAUGCCACAAACUACCGGUGGAGGAGUAAUAUCGAUAUGAGUGACGCGGCCGCAGAUUUACGACUUGAUAAGACGCUGACGGAGAAUGGCAUCGUUUACGACCGCUACCCACCGGCGCCGCUCGUUUGGAUCUUCUACCAGAUUCCGGAGGGAAUGCGCCUCGACCACGACCAAACCGGUGGUGGUGACAGCCAUGGCCAGCCCACCAUCACCAGUGCGUCGUCGGCGGUUUCACCCACAACAGAAGCUAACAAUGGCACGUAUCCAUCGUCGACGCAGGUGGCAACAUGUUCUGCCGGAAGUUGACCACCGUGCGGUUAAAUGAAACAAUUUCCCCGUGACUUGAAGAAGAAGUCCCCGAAAACAAAAGACCACUUGUUUCAGCGCGAAAUCGGAUGUGGGUGUGGAAUGCGUUCUCACGCCACCGCAGACGUCAACCGGGGGAGCAAGAAUUACUGUUGCGGACCCAGUUUCUUUUUUUCGGUGGGUGGUGGCUUAAUCGGGUGAUGAACGAGCUUUCGAUGGUCGAGUGGAAUAAAUUUGUACCGAAAUUAAGGAAAUCUGCGAGGCAAUUAGUUAAUAUUUAUGUUAA